CCAUGGAUUUUGGGCUCAGCUGGGUUUUCCUUGUGGCUAUUUUAAGAGGUGUCCAGGGUGAGGUGCAGCUGGUGGAGUCUGGGGGAGGCUUGGUGCAGCCUGGGGGGUCUCUGCGACUCUCCUGCGCAGCCUCUGGAUUCACCUUCAGUGGCUCCUACAUGAGCUGGGUCCGCCAGACUCCAGGGAAGGGGCUGCAGUGGGUCCCAACCAUUAGAAGUGAUGGAAGUAACACAUACUAUGCCGACUCGGUGAAAGGCCGAUUCACCAUCUCCAGAGACAACACCAAGAACACGCUGUAUCUGCAAAUGACCAGCCUGAGAGCCGAGGACAUGGCCGUGUAUUACUGUGCGAGGGGCACAGUGAGGGGAAGUCAGUGGACAGACGGGGAUGUGCCCAGUGAAGUUUGUGGAACCCCUUCCUGUGACGAGAACACGUGGGAGGUGCUGCCCUCCAGUGUUUACUGA